rnacentral:lncRNA from 1 species
UUUAGAGGUGAAAAGGCGAAAACCAACUUUCCUAUCACAGAAUAUGCUGCUGCUGCCGUUAAUGACGAGAUUAACAAGUUGCCAACUGUAGUAAUGGAAGAAGAGAGAGAAUUAUUAGUACAAGUCCUUCAUGGUGUUGAUGUGGCUGUUAAUGGUGAUCAAAAUUAUAGUAGUAGUAGUAGUAGUAUGCAAAAUGGUGAAGACGACGACUUUUGGGAGACAUUAGAAGAUGAUGGACUUGUAAAGCGGAUCACACAAGCUAUGUUCUUCUGAUUCUCUAUUCGGCUUAGUUUUUUUGUCUGAAAAUAUCUUUAUUCUUUGGUUUGUUUGUCGUUUUCUUCAACUUCUUUUGAGUGGCUACUAAGGAGUGAUAGGAAGUAUCUUGUACUAGUAUUGAGUAAUAAUAAUAAUGUACUCAAGUGUUAAAGAGGCUGCAAUCAUAUAUAUACAAAUAUAUAUUAAAUAUUAUGCGUUAAAUACAUAAAAUAACUUUUUUAUGAUUCGAGGUUAUCUGAUCAAAUUUGAUGAUUAUUUGUCGGAUAAAAGAACUUAUUACCCUUGUUUCUUAAAAAAUUUAUAUACAUAUUCUAUAGAGAUGCCCCCUUCGGUUUUUUUCUUAAUUUCCUAAAUUUGCCUGACUAUAUAGCAUAGUGUUCUUUAUAACAAUAACAUACUUUAAAAAUAUUAAUCAAUUAGCUAGAUGUCAUCAUAGAACUUUAUUCUAUCUCAUCUCCUUCAACAAAUAACCCUUGAUAGAGGCUUUUACGUUUUCCUUCCAGAACCUUCGAGGAUGACAUGUUCUACUUCCUAAAUACGAGAAUGUUGCGGUGUCAACUGCAUAUUUGCCUACGAACUUUUCUUUUUUGGUUUCCCACCUGGUGUUCGGAGUUCACAUUAGAGCUCCGACUAAAUUCGGAUCGCCCUUUACAGGUCUCAUUCGGAGGUGGCGCUUCCAACAAGAUUUUCUCCAUAUCUAAGGCUCGAACCCGAUACUUCUGAUUAAAGGUGAUGCACUCCCACCAGUGUACCACAACUCAUGUUGGUCAUAUUUGCCUACGAACUGCUAAUUAAGAAUCACAAAUUAGUCUGAUUUUUAUGAAAGAGCCACGUCAACUCAGCACAACGGACUGAACUUCCUAGGUGUUACGUGGCCCAACAAAGCCGUCAAAUGGAGGCACAGAUGGCAUAAAGUAUGGCUCACCACGUGUGGAUGCAAUUAGUGAUUCAGCAGCUUACCCAGCCAACCGAAGUCCAUAACUAAAUCGAGUAUUUAAGUAUACCCUCUGUCUUAUAACAUUAUAUUAUGUCUGUAUUAAUUGAUUAUCUUAGUUAAAAAUAAUGUCUAAUAUUAGUUGUUCACCUUAUUAGAUUAAGAAAAAAAUUAAUUAAAAGUUUCAUAUAUUACCCUUGCAAUAAAUAUUUUUUAAAGUGUUCACAUUUAUUUGUAAAAUUCUCAAGUUUAUUAAGAUGUAAAAAAUUAUCUUCUUAUGAAGGGAGUAUUAUAAUACUUAAAAUUAAUUUAAAAUCCAAAUUACAACUCCCUCUAUAUUAAAUAAAUUGUUUGAAAAAAAUUUCAAAGUUAAAAAAUAAGUGAAUUAUUAAUUUUUCUUUUUUUAUUUAUCUUUCAUUUAAUGAGAUUUUUUAACUAUUUCAUAUUUUUUAAGAUUAUAAUUUAAAAAAUAACAUAUAUCUAAAAUAUUUUUCUUAAUAGAGUACACAAUAAUUCAUUUAAUAUGUAGCAGAGGCCAGCUGAGGGAAUAGUACUUCUUUUUGGGGUUAGUAUUAGAAAUAUAGAGUCCAAUUCGGAGUGUAGUUAUCUCCGAAUGAAGGAAGCUUCUAUAUAUAGAAAGUCCUAAGUUCUUUCUAGAACUUACGAAUUUAGUAACUACAGAACCUACGAAUAUGUCACAUGGGCCAAUUUUUCGCAAAAUAGCCACGUGGAGUAAUCAGAGCUGCUCAUUACGUGGCCUACAUAUGAGUUAACUUAGUGUGCAGUAUGUGUUCCAGCUCACUCCACUGAAGCCACAUAUACCCAAAACGAAAUCAAUAAAUAAGCACACAGUUAGAGAUCUCUAACCCUAUCCUCUAUUUUACUCUCUAAAUAUAAUUUUUUUUAUUUUUUUGGACAAUCAACUACAAUUCAACUCUCUAUUUUAACCUCUAAAAAAGAUUUUUUUCUCUCUCUUAAAUAUUAUAUUAUUAUUUCUAUUUCAUUCUUAUUUUUCUUAUUUCAUAAUAUAAAUACCUUAUUUCUUUUUUCCAAUAAUUACUUUAUAUAAUUUUCAUGUUAUAUAAAAAUUUAUUUUUUCAAAUUUUUUAUUUAAUAUAAAAUUAUGUUUUAUUCUAAAUUUUUAAAUAACAUAAAAUUUGCAAGAAAGUAUUAUAUAAUAUACAAAUUAAUGGACAAAUUCAAAUAAAAGUGAAACACAAAUUACAUAAACACUCAAUUUUCAAAAUUAUUAACGUUGCUUCCAUAAAUGCUCUAUUAAUGCAUUACAGAGUUCAAAAUGAACAUUUUUGUUCUUAAUUUUUUUUUAUGUCUAGCUAAAAAUUAUUCAAAUCGGAGAUUUUCAUCUACCACCAUUUAUGUCGUUGGAGUUGGAGCCUCUACGACAUCUUGAAUUGGUGCAUUAAGUUCAUAUUCAUCCUCAAUUAUCAUGUUGGACAGUAUAAUACAUGUAGUCAUUAUAUCAUGUAGCACUUUCCUUAGCCAAAAACGUGACGGCCUUGCAAUAAUUGCAAAACGUGAUUGCAAAAUUCCGAAUGCACGUUCAACAUCUUUUCGGCAUGAUUCUUGUUUCAUCGGAAAUUAAUUAUUAGGUUAUGUAUUGUAUUUUAUCUUGUAUUUAAAUUAUUAUGUCAUGUAUUGUAUUGUUAUCUUGUAUUUAAAUUAUCAUAUUAUGUAUUGUAUUUUUAAUUAAAUUUUUCUAUUCUUAUCAUUUUAAUUUUGUUGUAUUCUUUAUAGUGAAAAUUAAUAGUAAAAUCAAAUUAUAUUAUUGACGAAAAUUAGAAAAAUUAAAAUACUAUUAAUUCAGGAUGAAAGUAGUAUAUAUUAAAUAAUAUGUUUUUAAAAAUAUUAUAUUACAUUUAAAAAUAAUUAUGAAUAUUAGAUAUUUAAUUAAUGACAUUAUAUAUAAAAUAAUAUGUUAAUUAGAAAGUAAUAGAAAUAAUAAUAAAAUAUUUAAAAAGUGAAAUAGAGAGUGUUGAAUAGUAGUUCUCCAAACUAUUAUUCACCUAUCUAAAUAUGAAGAAUAGAGAGUGAUAUGGAGAUGAAUUGGAGCGCUUAUUCUCUAUUUUACUCUCCAAAUAUAGAGAAUGAAGAGUAAAAUAGAGGUGGAUUGGAGAUGGUCUUACAAAUCAUUAACAACUACAAAUAAAUUCAGCUUAUUUUAGAAAAAAAAAGAAUAGAUUCUGUCAAGAUUCUCUACUUCAAGAAAAUGACUGUUAUACCCUCGCACACAAUUUGACUGAAAAUAAAAAACUUUACUACAUGGUGUCAGCUCUCCGACAUGUUGUCUCUGGCGUCGGCGACGGCCGAGUGGACGGCGAAGCUGCUCAGCAUUUGUUGGAAGUUCAAAAUGCUAGUGGUGGUUCAGCCACGUCAGCUAAUUCGAUGCCACGUAGGAGCGGCAUUAAUGUGGGGUUGGGGAAGGGGAAGAAGAGGAGAAGGAGGAAUACGAAAAAGGAAUAGAGGGGAGUGAGACAAAGACCAUGGGAACGAGUUUGGUUGGAUAUUGAGCAACUUUCACAUAUAGCAAAUACAGAAAUCAUAUUUGUAUGCUAUAACUAUAGUUUGCAUAAUUGGGCUCCAUAGCAAACAUAAAUAUGUAUAUUUCGUUAUACAUAUACAAAAGAAAGUAGUUGUAUAUAAUCUGUUUCUGUUUCGGUAUACAUAUACAAAAGAUCAAUUGUAUAAUCUGUAUUUUUAUAAAGCGAGAAAGAAAGAAAGACAAAAGAGAACUGGACAGAGAAAUUAUAUAUAUAUAUUGUAUAAUUAUAACUGUAUAGGACGAAGAUAUAUGUAUUUAUAUGUGUAUAUACAAUUUUCUCUCGCUUUAUACUAACAGAAACGCAAUUUAUACAUUUAUGUUUGUAUAAGCGAGAGAGGCGAGGGAAAGACUGGCGAGCGAGAUCUGGGAGAGGGGAACGAAAAUAUAUGUAUAUAUACAAUUUUUCCUCACUUUAUACAAACACAAACGCAUUUUAUACAUUUGAGUUUGUAUAAAAGCGAGAGAGGCGAGAGGAGAGAACGAGAGUGGCGAGCGAGAUUCACCAGGAGAGAGGCAAAAUAACAACAGUUUGUUAUGGGGUACAAUUAAAUCAAACUAUGUUCAUAACAUUUAAUUUGAAUUAAUAGUUUGCGAUUAUAUACAAUUUUUCCUACCUUCAUUACCGCCGUCAGAUGGUGCACCUAUUUUGAGACAUGUGUGAUGAUUAUUUUCUUUUACAUUUUUCCUUAUUCUUCAUCUUUUAUCUCUUUUGAUGGUUGUUUUUUUGUCUUCUUUAGUCUGAUUUUGCAGGAGAGAUCUAUGAUGAAGAUUGUUAGAUGUUUUUGUGUAGUUCGAUUUUAUAAGGUAAAACUAUUUGAUGCUCCUAAUAUAGUUAUCACUUUUUCUCUGUUGCAAUUAUACCUUCAAUAUUAUUAUUUUUGAAUUCAUGAUAAUAUGAAUCAUGAAUUUUUUUUAGAAAAAAAUUGUUUGAUUUUUUCUCUUUGCAUCUUUUUGUAGUUUAUAGAGAAUUUUUUUUCUUCAUAUUGUAGUUUUUAGAGCAUUAGAUUAUGUUAUGUUGAUAACAAGAUUCUUCCUUUAUUUUUAACUCAUAAUUAAAUGUUCUUUAAAGGUUUUUAUUUGAUUAGUUAACUUCAUUUUUAUAUAUUUUUUUGUUGUUGUCGUAUGGUUAACUUAUUUUGUUUUCAUGUUAGGAUGUUUUUGAAAAUAGAAGCUGAAAAAAAAGUUAACACAUACAUGUAUUCUACUCAAUAAAACAUGUAUAUAUAAUUUUGUAGUCACGUAAAUCCAUUUUAAUAAUUAUUAUGAUAGAUUAUGAGAAUGUAAAGUUAAUUCAUAGUUUUUAAAAUAUUGUGUAAUUUAUAUAUAAAAAAAAUGUGUAUUGAUAUGGAAACUUUGAAGUCUUCAUAUUUUUAUUUUUUUAUUUUUUAUUAAUAUUUAUAUUGGAAGUUCUCAAGUUUUUGAGAUUUUCAGAGAUCACUAUUACAAUCUGUUUGAUCAGAAAUUAAAAUACAAAAGCAUUUGUUUAGGAUAAAAAUGAUUUAGUAAAUUCGUUCUCUCUCAAUCUACUUUCUUCUUAUUUAUCUUUCUAUUUUCUCAUUUUUCUUUGACAUUUUUUCUGUUUAUUUAUUACUUUUUAUUGUACAAAAAAAUAAAUGUAUUAGUUACUACUCCUCCAUUAAUUCAUAUUUUUUAAUAUAAAAAUUUAAGUGUCUUUAUUUUCCAUACUUUAGUGACUUUUGGUGAUCAUAACUCCUAAAUUAUAUUAAUAAUCAUGUUCAUGAUAUCAUUUGAAAAUUCACAUUAUUGUCCUAUAAAUAGAGGCAUUAUAAAAAUAAUUAUUAAAAAAUGAUCGAAUAUUAUAUAUAAAUAUAUUAAAAACAAAAAAAUAAUUUCCUUAACUCGUUUUUUUUUUAGGAAUUUUUUAAAUUCCAUCAUUUAAUUUUCUCAAUAACAAGUUUAUGUUAAAAGUGUUAAAAAAGAUCAUAUAUAUAAAUUAAUUUUCUUUUUAACAACAUAAAUGGGGUGUAAAUAAGGAUACUAAGAGUCAUAUCUUUUUCUUUUUCCUUUUUAUCAAAAUAAAUGUGUAUAUAUGAUUAAUGUGUAUUAAUAAAUUUAUUAUUAUUGAAAGCAAACAAAAGUUUCUUUUAUUUUUUCUACAUUAAAGAAUGACUUAUCCUUUGGAGAGUUAUUACUCCAAUUUAUUUAUAAUAAUUACCACAAUAAUAUUUUAAUAAUAGAAAUAAUUGUAUUUAUAUUGUCAACCUUUUUAUUGUCCUACCUUCAACAUUGCAUACGCAUAUUAUUUUUUAAAAUAUUUCUUUGUCGCUCUUUGAUAAUCUCUAUACAAUUGGAUUAGGUAAGUAUCACACCAAGUCACUAAAUGAUAUCAUGACUUAUCUUUUAUAGUUCAUUUUACAUUGUGUGUUUAACUUUUUUAUUUUUUUAUUGUAAAAAUAUAACCUCAACCGUAAUAUUGUUGCACUAUCGCAACUUAAUUCUCUCUUAUCGCAAUGCCUCUACAAGAAUGAGAGUUUAAAUACAAAAAACUUAAUAUUUUGCAUUAGAUUAGUGUCGGUACGAAUAUCGAAUAUCAAAAAAAAAAUAUCUCUAACUUUUGAAUUUCGUGCAUAACUAUGUUAGAAUAUAAUACAAGUAUUUCUUUCUCACCAUGAUUUACCAAAAAUGUAUCUUUAUUUAUUUAUUUUUAUUUUUAUUUUUAUGUCAUUUAUACAAAAAGAAAGUCACGUAAUUUAUAAUCGAAUAGAUUUAAUAGUGUUAACUGAAGCUUUUCAUAUCAACGUUUAUAUUUUGAACUUUUUUAUUUGUAUGGAAAAAAAAAAUUAGCAAUUUCUUUUUGAAGAAGUAAUAUCAAAGUCGUAUUUUAAUGUGUGUUUCUCUUUUAUUAUUAAUAGUGAAGUUAAUUCUUUAAAAAUAUGUUUAAGUUGUUUUAUAACCGCGCAAAGCGCGGACAAAUACAGUAGUUUAAAAAUAUAAAGUUCGAUUUUUGGAUGCUUUGUUACCUUCGAAUGUAAAGCUCCUAAUGUUCUAUUUUCUUUCCAAAAAAAAGUACGAAGAUAUUUAUUUUUUUGUAACUAUAGAACGUACGAAUAUGCUUAGCUGGUAAGACCCGGUUGACUGUUUUGACUGUAAAUAAAACAGAUUUUCUCAUUAAGUCAACGUCGUGUGCAUUCAGUGUUCCAAAAGUCAAAACGAAAUCUAUAAAUAAGCUGACAACUUAUCAUUACUACUACAACAAAUUUCAGGGGUAAAAAGGAAGAAUGACUAUUCUCUGUCAAGAGAAUGAAUGCUAUACCCUUGCACACAAACUGACUCAAGACCAAGAAAAUUACUACAUGGUGUCAGCUCUCCGACAUGUUGUCUCCGGUACCGGCGAUGGUAGGGUGAACGAUGAAGCUGCUCAGCUUUUGUUGGAAGUUCAAAAUGCUAGUAGUGGUAGGAGCAAUAUUGAUGUGGAGUUAGAGAGGGGGAAAAAGAGGAGGAGAAAUACAAAGAAGGAAUUUAGGGGAGUUAGACAAAGACCAUGGGGAAAAUGGGCCGCUGAGAUACGUGACCCGCAUAAAGCCCAACAACUUUGGCUUGGUACUUUUGUUACCGCUGAAGAUGCUGCUAGAGCUUACGACAAAAAGGCUAUAGAAUUUAGAGGUGAAAAGGCUAUAACCAACUUUCCUAUUACAGAAUAUGCUGAUGAGAUUAACAAGUCACCAACUGUAGUAAUGGAAGAAUUAAUACAAGUCAUUAAUGGUGUUGAGGUGGCUGUUAAUGGUGAAAAUAGUAUGCAAAAUGGUGAUGAGGACGACGACUUUUGGGAGACGUUAGAAGAUGAUGGACUUGUCAAGCGGAUCAAUAUGUUCUUCUGAUCCUCUCUCUAUUUUUGGGUCUGAAAAUAUCUUUAUUCUUUGGUUUGUCUGACGUCGUUUUCUUCAACUUUUUUUGAGUGGCUACUAAGGAGUGGUAGGAAAUAUCUUGUACUAGUAUUCAUGAGUAAUAAUGUACUCAAGUGUUAAGAGGCUGCAAUCAAAUCAUAUAUAUAUAGUUUAUAUAUUAAAUA